UGUGGACAUAACGUAAUAGGUGUUUGCACCUAACGUAAAGAUGUUUGGACAUAAUGUAGGCAUUUGCACAAAGUGUUAUUGGUGUUUGCACACAAUGUAAGGUAUUUGCACAUAACGUAAUAGUGUUUGCACAUAAUGAUGUAGUUGUUAUACAUAACUUAAUAGGUAUUUGCAUAUAACGCAAUAGGUGUUUGCAAAUAAGGUAAACUAUGUUUGGACAUAGGGUAAACGGAAGAAGGACAAGUCGCCCCACUGGCAAGUCGCCCCACACCUAGUCGCCCCACUUUUUCACCCACUCGCCCCACUUUAAAAAAAAACACGCCCCAACCUGGAUCACCAACUCGCCCCACUUUUUAAAAAAUCGCCCCACAUGUGAAAUUGGUUAAAGCA
rnacentral:lncRNA from 1 species